rnacentral:tRNA from 1 species
UGGGGUGUAGCUCAGAGGUAGAGUGCUUAUUUGCCAUGCGAGGCCCUGAGUUAGAUCCUCAGCACUGCAA